UCUAUGAAGUAAACGGCUGCAUAAAUCUGAGUGUACUAAGGUAGCGCUAUAAUUUGCCUUUUAAAUGGGGGCUGGUAUGAAUGGGUUCACGUGGGAGUUGCUGUGUCACAAAAAGUUUUUGAAAUUAACUUUCAGGUGAAGAGGCCUGGUUAGAUUUACAGGACGACAAGACCCUAGAAGCUUUACUGAUGACAGGUUAUAAGUUAGUUUGUUUUGGUUUUGUUGGGGCAACAUAGUUAGAAAAUAUAGCUUGUUUUUAUAAACUUACAAGUUAAAACCACAUUGGUGAAUAAGAUAAGCUACUCUAGGGAUAACAGCGUUAUUUUUUUUAAUAGUACGUAUUGUAAAAAAAGUUUGCGACCUCGAUGUUGGACUAAGGUGUCCUUAAGGUGCAGAAGCCUUAAAGGGUUGGCCUGUUCGUCCAUUAAAACCUUACA
rnacentral:rRNA from 1 species